AUUGAACGCUGGCGGCAGGCCUAACACAUGCAAGUCGAGCGGUUGAAGGGAGCUUGCUCCCUGAUUCAGCGGCGGACGGGUGAGUAAUGCCUAGGAAUCUGCCUAUUAGUGGGGGACAACGUUUCGAAAGGAACGCUAAUACCGCAUACGUCCUACGGGAGAAAGCAGGGGACCUUCGGGCCUUGCGCUAAUAGAUGAGCCUAGGUCGGAUUAGCUAGUUGGUGAGGUAAUGGCUCACCAAGGCGACGAUCCGUAACUGGUCUGAGAGGAUGAUCAGUCACACUGGAACUGAGACACGGUCCAGACGCCUACAGGAGGCAGCAGUGGGGAAUAUUGGACAAUGGGCGAAAGCCUGAUCCAGCCAUGCCGCGUGUGUGAAGAAGGUCUUCGGAUUGUAAAGCACUUUAAGUUGGGAGGAAGGGUUGUAGAUUAAUACUCUGCAAUUUUGACGUUACCGACAGAAUAAGCACCGGCUAACUCUGUGCCAGCCGCCGCCGUAACAC
rnacentral:rRNA from 1 species